AGAGGGAUAACAAAAUGUGGCGGUUCCCCGUGCAAAAUCGGAGAGAUGAAAACACCACAAAAUCCCCGCUGAUCAACUAACCUAGAUUGUCGCUUCCAACUAGAUUCUUGCUUCCAGUAAGACUAACUUAACUUUCUUUCUCACUUCCGAGGGCCUUCUUGCGUGUGUGUAUACAUAGUUUUUUAUUUGAGAUUGCUGAGUAAGUGAAACACUUAACUUUCCUUUUCAGGAUCAGGUUAAUCAUAAUGCUUUAAUUAGGUUUUCAUUGCAGUUUAUUCAAGUCAUCGAGAUUUUGAUUUAAUACAAGCUGGCCUACUAGGGUUCAUGUGUCAUGGCUCGAAAGCUAGGAUUAGUUAUUAUUUGGGGUUUUUAAAUUGGAUAAGAAGAACAAUUUUAAAGAGACAAGAGAAACGACAGUUCCUAAUUUGUGAGCAAGAUGUGAGCUCCGACCCCUUAUACAGCCCCAAUACUAGUACAGGACAUGUCGGUUAAUUUACUAAUUUGAUUAGCAAUUAGCAAGGAUAAAAGUAGUAAUGCUUUUUUAGAUGCCUAAUUUAUGUAGUAAUGCUUAGUUUUCGAUAAAAGUAUUCAGUCUUCAUAAAUUCUUCUUUUCUUUUAAUGUUUUUUUUUACAUAUUUGUUUUGUAGCAUGACUUUCGUGGUCCUAAAAGCGUACAUAUCUUGUUUCUAUAUCUAAAUGGUCGCAGAAAAAUUUGUCCCCGCUUGGUCAGGACUGUGGCUUUGUCUCUGGUGAUAUACACUUCUUCUAGUCAUCUAUAUUAUGGUAGUGGCAGUUGCAGUCAAAAUUAGCUUGAAGGUACAAUUUAUACCACAAUUGGCCUCGCUGCCUGCAUCACAAUUUCAUGCUAAUUAGUGAGACACCAUUCAGUAGAAGAUUGUCUACUAUUAAAUAACAUAAGCUUGGUUACAUUCUUUCGCCUGAUUCUUCUUUAUAAACUAUAACUUCCUUCUCGUCUGACUUCAAUGCUGCUGUUUGAAGAAUUCCAUUUUUUGUGUUAUAUCUGAAAGAAACCAUCUCUCUAGCAAGUAGCAUCCUAUUGUUUACAUAUAUAUGGUAAGGGAUAAGUUCUUCAUUAGAUAAACGUAGUUGACCUGAUUUUUCUGGAUAAGCAAAGAUGACAGGUGAUUAAGCUAGUUAAUGUGGAAUUAGAAUAUAGUAAAUACUCUUUCCUGCAUAUAUAGGAGAGCUUGUGGAUGAGGAGGAAGGGAAUUUUGUGUUAAGUACUUUUGUGUUCAUAAAUGUUGUUGAGAUUCAGAGGCGAUAAAAACAACAAUGCAAAACUUUAAUUAUGCAGGAACUACAACUUCACUCUAGAUUCCAACAUGCAAAUGCUACAAUCAGUUUCAAUUAUGAUGUUUAACUGUCUUUUAUUCUUGAUAUUGUACUAAAGAACUGUCCACUUGUGUUUUAUACUUUGAGUAUGCUAUUGUACCCUGGUAUUGAAAUCAGUUUUGUAAACACACUGCUUGGUUGGUAUAUGGAGAAGGAUUAGUAGUUUUUUUACUCCUAAUGUCGGAAUGUAUGUGAAUAGUAUAUGGAUCUCAACAAGAACCCUAAGCGGAACAACAAGUUCCAGAUCUUUUUUUAACAAAAUAAGUACCAGAUUGAAAGAAAAGAAAAAUGGUCUCAGGAAUUUAUUGAACUUGUUAAGGCUUGUAUUUCAUGACCUUACUUGAACAGGAUCUGUUCUAUAAGCUCGUACCUCUGUAUCCUUGAUUUCUAAGGAGGCAGGUGACCAAGUCUGGUGGAUGAACCAUGACUGCAUGACCAGAGCGUGAUUAACAGCCCUGUGACCUUGUUUGGCCAUAUGAGCCGUAGAGGAUCGUUCUUGGCCAGAUUCUGGUUGGGGUGGUCAUGCAGUUGUCUGACAGACCCAUAUUCUUUUCAUCUCUUCCUUAUGUCAUUUUUCUGUCCAGAGACUGUGUCAUUUUUAUAAUCUUUCAUGAUUAUCAUGUAAGCACAACUUGCACAUUAUAAUGGGACUGAUAUACUUACCAUGAGAAAUUAAUAGAACAAAAAAGAUAUGACUAGAAGUAAAGCUCAGAGCAACAAUUUCUGUUCUGAAUGUGUGUUCAGAAAUGGCAGCGGACCCAUCCAACUGCAAUUAUAUUGCUUGUUUCAUCACUGCUUUGCACCAGCCGGGAAUCGAACCUGGGUCUGUACCGUGGCAGGGUACUAUUCUACCACUAGACCACUGGUGCUUUGUGUGUAAAUGUCUUUUUGGUAGCUACAUAUACACAAUUUCUUAAAAUAAUGAAACAGUACAGAGACAAUAAGAAAUUAAAUUAAAUUAUUGAGUAUUUUUUUUUUUUUCCAGUUUAUCAGGUCUGCUAGGUCUUGCUCACUUGUUAUGUAGUCUUGAGGGUCUUUUUUAGCUAUUAUUUAUUUAGAGACUUACCCCAGUUACUAAAUGCAUAGCUACUUAUAGUGUAACAGAAGAUUUUACAACAUUGGAAAGAGUAAUAUCAAUGAUUCUCUCAUCCAAACCCUUCACAUCUUUGAUGUUUAGUCUGGCAACAACCAACUCACAGAAAUGUUUCUCAAUGUGAAGAUAUGUAAUUGAUUUUUUAACUGUUGGACACGCCUGACUGAUUUUGCAUUUCCUAGCAAUUCGAAGAUAUCACAUGCACUACAAUAUUUAUGAAAAUUAUAUUGACCUCCCAAUUACUAGUUGUUCUGAUGGGAAUUUGAGGGGAAUUUUAGUGAUGUUGCAUUGCCAUCCAUACUCAAGAUUUGGACCAUUUGGUCUUUGUAUGCAGUCGCAGACUCUCAAUUCUUAAUUAAGUAGUGAUUUGUUACCAUUAUAUAGUUUAAUUUUACAAUGCUAUAAUCGUUCCUCACAAAUAACUUCUUGUAGAGAGGGUAUCUGAGCUCUCAAGGAUCACAGUCACCUAGAAACCUGGCNCCCCCCCCACCCCACCCCCCCACGCGCACAUUUUAAUCAACUUCCUCGAUAACAGUAUUUAUAUUUGAAUAUCCGCUCACUUGUACGCAAUACUUAAACAUCUGUGCUUGUAAUAAAUCCAUAUAAGAGUUGAAGUAAAUAGGGUUUUGGUGUUUUGAAUACACUAGUACUAGGCCCUUUCAACCUUUAGGACGAUGUAGAUUACAAAUUCAGAUGUUGAUCAUGGCUGUGUAUCAUUUAUUAUCUCUUAUCGAUGGCAAUAUCUAUAUUUCAAUAUUAGCUCGUUUGUACGCAAUACUUAAACAUCUGUGCUUGUAAUAAAUCAAUAUUUGGAUGAAGCAAAUAGGUUUUGGAGUUCUGGUUACAUGAGUACUUGGCCUUUCAACCUUUAGGACGAUGUAGAUUAUAAAUUCAGAUGUUGAUCAUGCCUGUAUAUCAUUUGUUAUCUCUUAUCAAAAUAGCAGUCUUUUAAAUAGUACAUUUGGUUAUAUCUUGAGUGGUAUAUGUGUUGGUCCACCAUAGUCGUCAAACAAUUUCUCACAAUAGUAUACUUCUACAUCCAUGAUUUUUUUUUCAGAAUCAAGAAUACAAGUAGAGGAUGCUUUUGAGCCUAAAGAAUAACUAUGGACAACAUAAGAAAACCAUAACAGACAGAAAAUAAAGAAAAGAAGCAGCAUGUUCAUCUUGAAAGUUUGUUCAGAAAUAGCAGCGGUCAAGUUCCAUUUUCUGGCAAGUUGAUAUGGGGGGCCUGUACAGCUUCAAUUUAAUUGCCUGUUUUAUCAUUGCUUUGCACCAGAAGGGAAUUGAACCCAUGUCCGGUAUGUCCAGCGAGACCCCUGAUGCUUUGUGUUUAACUUUUCUAUUUAUUAGCUCUAUAUUGACACACUUGUUAAAUUUAUUACAAAAUCAAACAGAAAUGAAAAGCUGAUCUAGCAAUAACAAUUUAUAUAAUAAAUACUUAAUUGUAUAUCUUGUUUUCAAGGCCGGCUGGCCGGGGGUAAUUUAUAUCUACUAGCAGCUACUCACAUACUUCUUAACUAGCAAUUAUAUGCUCAUUGCUGUUGAGAAUUAAAACAUAUGAAUCAAUUUGCUCAUUAGUAAUACAUGUCAUAAAAUAUCACACAUCAUGUUAGUGUAUGCCUGUAGGUAUAACACUUGUCAUUUGUCUACUUGUAGUAGAGUUCUUGGAGAGAAUCUGCAACAAUUAGAAAAGCUACUUGUCAUUGUUUAAUUGAUUUUAUUCCAAAAAAAAUUUAAUUAAAAGUUACAGUUUCUCAUUAUGAAUACAUGUCAUUAAUUAAUUGCUUGCUACUUGCUGCAAUUUACCGAAAUUAUAUUUCAAUUUCGGUUGAUGUCAAAGCACUGCCCCCUUUACUCAAUAUUUCAGUCUCAAUAAGCAGCCUCACUUUGUAAAAAGAAUUUAAAACCAGACCAUCUGUUGAAGGACGAAUUUUGGCUGGACUAAACAUCAGGGAUCUUAAUUCUAAUGUCACUGAAUAG
rnacentral:lncRNA from 1 species